AAGUAUAUGCUUGGAAGAUCCCCUUCUCAUGGACUAUACCAUCUCCCUUUUCUAAGUUCACAAACCUCUCCUGUUAAGCUCUCCCUUGUUGUCUCUCUGGAGAGCAUUUUCUUCCACUAUCAGUUCUGAACAUGGCAUCUAAGAAGAAGAAGAAGAAAAAGAAGAAGACCGAAUAGAUCGUGGCGAGAAACCGGGUUUGAUUUCGUGUUCUGUUAUCAGCUUGGGCAACUGAGGAUCCUUUGGCAUUUUUCUUGUUAUUUACUAUGGCUUCUUCAGGAGUCAGAGUUUUGAGUCGAAUUUUAGUUUUCUUCAGCGGGAGAGAAAAACAUCUGCAGCACUUUCCUGACCAUAUGCCAAUUCUUUCGUUUUCUCUCCUGACUGAUCCGGGUUAGAAUUAUAUGUAACAACGUUAUAGAUGUGAUAUCACAGUUGAAGUCGAUCAGCAUACAACUGAGCCUUUGCUUAUUCUUGCCUCUUUUUCUUGUAUUGCCUAGUAUUAUGGCAUUUCAGUUCCUUCGUUCAUCUAGUUAUGUCUUAUGAUGAGGUCCCACGAGGCUCGCUAUGACGCAACGCAUCAGACUGCCCAAAUAUUAAGUUAAUAAGAACAUCUAUCCAUCCUUCAUUUAUCUACCGGCUAAAAUAGGCACUUGAAUCGCGUGUCUGACUACUGACGGACCGAGAUCAUCUCAUCAGAAGGCAAUAGAAAGUGCCAUGCUCGUGCAAUUUCGCGCAUUGCUCAAGUUCUCGAAUUAUACCAAAAUCAAGAUGCUCAAGAAUUCAACAGUGGAAUUGCAGAUUGCGUUAACUGAUGAGCGGAUGAAGCUACUGAUUGGAUCUGCAUGUAGAUAAUACUACUGAUAUCUGCGGCAUAGGGUUGAUGUACUCCUGACAAGGAUUUCCAGCUAAUCUCAUUUCCAGGAUUUUCCGAAACCA